rnacentral:rRNA from 1 species
CCUACGGGAGGCAGCAGUGGGGAAUAUUGCACAAUGGGGGAAACCCUGAUGCAGCGACGCCGCGUGAGUGAAGAAGGUUUUCGGAUUGUAAACCUCUGUCUUUGGUGACGAAAGAUGACGGUAGCCAAAGAGGAAGCUACGACUAACUACGUGCCAGCAGCCGCGGCAAUACGUAGGUGGCAAGCGUUGUCCGGAAUUACUGGGUGUAAAGGGAGCGUAGGCGGGAAGAAAAGUUGACUGUUUAAACUAACGGCUCAACCGAUAAGCGCGUUCAAAACUGUUGUUCUUGAGUGAAGUAGAGGCAGGCGGAAGUCCUGGUGUAGCGGUGAAAUGCGUAGAGAUUAGGAGGAACACCAGUGGCGAAGGCGGCCUGCUGGACGAUGACUGACGUUGAGGCUCGAAAGCGUGGGGAGCAAACAGGAUUAGAUACCCCUGUAGUC